rnacentral:rRNA from 1 species
UUCUCCUGGAAAACGGGUGGUAAUGCCGGAUGCUCCGACUCCUCGCAUGGGGUGUCGGGAAAGAUUUCAUCGGUAUGGGAUGGGGUCGCGUCCUAUCAGGUAGUCGGCGGGGUAACGGCCCACCGAGCCUACGACGGGUAGCCGGCCUGAGAGGGCGACCGGCCACAUUGGGACUGAGAUACGGCCCAGACUCCUACGGGAGGCAGCAGUGGGGAAUAUUGCACAAUGGGCGCAAGCCUGAUGCAGCGACGCCGCGUGCGGGAUGACGGCCUUCGGGUUGUAAACCGCUUUUGAUCGGGAGCAAGCCUUCGGGUGAGUGUACCUUUCGAAUAAGCACCGGCUAACUACGUGCCAGCAGCCGCGGUAAUACGUAGGGUGCAAGCGUUAUCCGGAAUUAUUGGGCGUAAAGGGCUCGUAGGCGGUUCGUCGCGUCCGGUGUGAAAGUCCAUCGCUUAACGGUGGAUCUGCGCCGGGUACGGGCGGGCUGGAGUGCGGUAGGGGAGACUGGAAUUCCCGGUGUAACGGUGGAAUGUGUAGAUAUCGGAAAGAACACCA